rnacentral:rRNA from 1 species
AUGCUGGGCGCGCUGCCAGAGGACUUGCUGAUGCAGGUGGCGAUGAAGCCAACCGCGAAGGAGGUAUGGGACUCCUUCAAGGUUCGCUUCGUCGGCGCCGAUCGGGUGCGGGCAGCGAGGCUCAGGACGCUGCGCGGCGAGCUCGAUCGCCUGCGAAUGGACGACGGCGACGAGCUGGACGAGUAUGCCGGGAAGGUCAGCGGCAUGGCGGCGAGGUACGCGAUGCUCGGGUCGACGCUCGACGACAGCGCCAUGGUGAAGAAGUUGCUCGACAUCGUGCCAGACCGCCUGUACGCCGCGGUGGCCAGAAUCGAGCAAUUCUGCAACGUCGAGGAGAUGGCAUUCGAGGAGGCGCUCAGACGGCUCAAGGCCUUCGAGGAGCGGACGCGGCGGCGCAUGCGGGCCAGCGGCGAGCGCGCGGACGGGCAGCUGAUGAUGAUAGCGGCACAGUGGGCGGCUCGGGAGCGACGGCAAGGCGGACGCGACUUCGGCGACGACGGCGCGGCGAGCACAUCAUUGGGCAACGGAGGGAAGUGUCGUGGACGCUGCUACAAAUGCGGGGAGCACGGGCACUUCCGGCGCGAGUGCCCGCAGCUGCGGAAAGGACCGGAGGUGGAGCAGGCUCUCCUGGCCGACGCCAACGGCGACGAUGACAGACUUCUUUAG